rnacentral:rRNA from 1 species
ACGCUCGACACCUACGGGAUGCAGCAGUUAGGAAUAUUGGGCAAUGGAGGAAACUCUGACCCAGCAACGCCGCGUGAAGGAAGAAGGUUUUCGGAUUGUAAACUUCUGAUCUAGGGGAAGAAGGAAGUGACGGUACCCUAGGAGAAAGCCACGGCUAACUACGUGCCAGCAGCCGCGGUAAUCUGAGCGGGCUGGCAAGGC